UGCCGUACUCCAGCAGAUUUGAGUGUCGCUGCUGUGGUCUUGAAUGUCUGCAGUAGUUUAUCUUCAGCCAAAGUGAUUUGUGCCAUUUUAUUUCCAAAAGAUAAAGGCAAGCACAAGGAAACCCACGUGUGAGUGUGUUUGUUCACGUCUGUUACACUGGUGCCGUGACUCCUUGGAUCCUUUGAUCAGCUCGACGCAGAUCGACCGUGAUUGCUGUGUGCCGGUCAAGCUCAGCGGUGGACCAGAUCUUCAUCGCUCUGUGCAGGUCAAGUUCGUCAGUGGGUCAAGUCUUCGAUGUUUUGGAUGAGGACAGUACAUACACACACUCAGUUAUUGGGACUGUGCAUUCGUUUUUCAAAUACACAACGCAUAGACACAUUUGACAUAGUACUGCUUUGA